UAAAUAUAAGUUUUUUUAUUUAACUGUUUUAUUACUUGAUUAGGUCUUUUUCUUUCUAGUGUUUUAGAGGGAAACUUUCUUUAUUUUCUCGUUGAGUCCUUUCUCUUCGGUCUAGCUGAAUGUCUGCCACUGGUUGGUUUCUUUUACCCUUCCAAGCAGGGAAGCUCUUCCUCCCGACUUGUAGUGUGGGUUUGCUCUCCCUAACUCUAGGUUGGGCUAUAAAUAUCAAUUUGGCUUGAUGCAGAUUGUGGAGUUUCUCGGUGAGGGUUGAGUUUUUUAUGAGCUGCCUUUUCUAUUUUAUGGUUUGUGUUUGAUGCAACAAUGGCUCAGUGAGCAUCUCCGAGUCCUAAAACUAAUGCUAUUUGUUGCUUUCUGGUGACUCAAUUGAGAGACUGGAAGCUCCGCCAUCCCUCUACUUCAAAGUCUGCAGUGAUAGAUCCUAACUUCAAUCUUCGGGAGCUUGAGGCGAUGCCAUUGGAAUUGGGGGUUCUACUUGAUUUGGUUGUCCUUCGCUACGUAUGGCUUCUCAUGGUAGUUCUCUAUUUGGUUUUCUUGUUCCUAACGGUUAUUCCAGUGGCCAUGGGGUUAGGUUCGCUUGGCAACGUAAGAUAUGUUUGGCAUUGAGUUUCAACUGUUUUUAGAUGUUAAUGAAA
rnacentral:misc_RNA from 1 species